rnacentral:lncRNA from 10 species
GCCAAAUCCCCCUCUGUGAGAAACACCCAAGAAUUAUCAAUAAAAAAAAAAUUUAAAAAAAAAAAAAAAAGGAUAAAAUCUGUCAAGUUGUCACUUUGUGAAGUUGUUCCUUUUUGGGUCUUGUUUAAUACAUUUUUCCUUAGCCAUAAUCACAAAAUAAUCUCCUAUUGUCUUCUGUUAACUUUAUACCUUUUAUAUUUUGACCUUCCAGUGAUGUCAAAUUCAUUUUAGAUUAUGAUGAGAGGAACAGAUCCAUCUUUAUUUUUCUUCAUAGAUUAAGGAGAAUUUCUCAAUAACAUUCAAUACAUAUUCCAUUAUUUUCUUACUGAGGGAGUAUUCUCAUAUAUUCUCAAUUACUAAGUUCUGUAUACACAUAGAUUGUUUUGGGUUUCUCCAUUUGGCUUAUUAUUAUUAUUUUUUGUUUAUCUUUUCUACACCAGUUUAACACCAUUGAACUCACCAAGGCUUUGUAAUAUAACUUAAAAUUAAGCAGGAAACAUCUCCUCUUUUUGUUUUCUUUUUCCAAAUCAUCUUAGCUUUGGUAGAUCCUAUUUUUCCCCUGGAUAAAACUUAGUUUAUCAAUUUUCUUCCCCCAAUCCUCCUGGAAUAUUCAUUAAAACUUCAUUGAAUAUAUAGAUUAAUUUGCAAAAAUUGGCAUCAAUAUUGUAAAGGUCUUUUUUAAUAGUUUCCUUUUAUCAUUUAAUAGACUUUAAAAAUAUAUUCUAUAAUAAUUUUGUACAUGGUUGAUUAUGUCCUGGCUACUUUAGAGUUUUGUU